UACGUAGGGUGCGAGCGUUGUCCGGAAUUAUUGGGCGUAAAGGGCUCGUAGGCGGUUUGUCGCGUCGGGAGUGAAAACCCAGGGCUUAACCCUGGGCUGGCUUUCGAUACGGGCAGACUAGAGGUAUGCAGGGGAGAACGGAAUUCCUGGUGUAGCGGUGAAAUGCGCAGAUAUCAGGAGGAACACCGGUGGCGAAGGCGGUUCUCUGGGCAUGUCCUGACGCUGAGGAGCGAAAGUGUGGGGAGCGAACAGG
rnacentral:rRNA from 1 species